CUGGGACCAAUUUAUGUGAACGCUUUCUCCGGACCGGAUUCUUGGAUGCAUUUCCUCCGGACGGUGUUUAUCUGAGCACUUCCUCCGGAUUAGAAUCGUUGGUGCACUUUUUCCAGAGGAUUCGUCUGGAAACGGCUCGGAAUGGCCACAGCCCUGCCCCCCGAAGGACAGCAAGGACCUGUAGUAGUUAAGGCAGAAGAGCGUUGCUGGGGUGGGGGCUGCACCGCACCAACGCCGGGGCCGCCAGGGCGGGAACUCUGCUAUCAGGAUGCACCUUGGCCCGGCUCCGCGAGCUGUGCCGGCUGUGGCUGCGGCCACAACGCCACACGAAGGAGCAGAUUUUAGACCUACUGGUGCUGGAGCAGUUCCUGAACAUCCUACCAGGGGACCUUCGACAUUGGUGUAGGUGCACCAUCCGGAGACAGGCGAGCAGGAGGAGUACUCAACUUGGGGUCAGUAGAUGUCGGGGACAGUACAGAACAGCACUAUCCAACAGAACUAUAAUGUGAACCACAUUCAGAUAGAAACAGGUGAAACCAAAUGGUACAUUUUAUUUAACCCAGAAUAUGUAAUCAGUAUAAAAGUGAGAUGUUUUAUGUUGUUCAAAGUUUGGUGUGUAUUUUACACUUCGCAGAUCUCAGGUCUUACUAGCCCUGUUUCAAGUGCUCUGUAACCGCAUUUUGCUUGUGGCUGUAACACUGGACAUCGUUCUUGCAGUUCUUUCACCAAAUCUACCUUACAAGGCCAACCAUACUCUAUUGUUCUAAAUCCCAUCCAAGUCAGAAAGACAGGACACACUUCUGGACAAGUUGGCCUCCUUGGGAAUGGUCACAUGAGUUACUGACUGUCCAGCUCCACCCAAAGAAGACCCAGCAGGAGCCCCAAAGGAAUGAUGUUUUCUAUGAAUCAAAGGCACAGCCCUCCACUAGCAGAAGGCUUACAACAUGCUUUAUUGAGAUCAUGGCUUUAUGUUGGUGGUCUGGAACCAAACUUCAGUGUCUCCGAGGUCUGCCUGUAUCUACAUGUGAAGAAGAGCUGGUGUGAAUUCACUUUUUAUACAUGUAAAUUUGCAGUGCCUGUGAGACAUCCCAGUAAAUAAAAUUCAGCAUGCAGUGCAGUUUAAAAUGUUCUAGAUCGCCAGGUGGUGUGGCUCAGUGGUUGAGCAUCGACACAUGCACCAGUUUGA